rnacentral:rRNA from 1 species
CUACGGGAGGCAGCAGUAGGGAAUCUUCCACAAUGGGCGAAAGCCUGAUGGAGCAACGCCGCGUGAGUGAAGAAGGAUUUCGGUUCGUAAAACUCUGUUGUAAGGGAAGAACAAGUACAGUAGUAACUGGCUGUACCUUGACGGUACCUUAUUAGAAAGCCACGGCUAACUACGUGCCAGCAGCCGCGGUAAUACGUAGGUGGCGAGCGUUGUCCGGAAUUAUUGGGCGUAAAGCGCGCGCAGGUGGUUUCUUAAGUCUGAUGUGAAAGCCCACGGCUCAACCGUGGAGGGUCAUUGGAAACUGGGAGACUUGAGUGCAGAAGAGGAUAGUGGAAUUCCAAGUGUAGCGGUGAAAUGCGUAGAGAUUUGGAGGAACACCAGUGGCGAAGGCGACUAUCUGGUCUGUAACUGACACUGAGGCGCGAAAGCGUGGGGAGCAAACAGGAUUAGAUACCCUGGUAGUCCACGCCGUAAACGAUGAGUGCUAAGUGUUAGGGGGUUUCCGCCCCUUAGUGCUGCAGCUAACGCAUUAAGCACUCCGCCUGGGGAGUACGGUCGCAAGACUGAAACUCAAAGGAAUUGACG